AGGUCACUGAGGCAUCAGGAGAAUUAGGGAUUUGUUUCAAGUUCACCCCUUUGGGCUUUGACGGUGCUGGCUAACCCAUCUCUCGCCCUUUCUAUUUCUCAGGUUCUGCUGAUGUCCAGCCUCUUGCUUCUUUUGGCUUCCUGUCCAUCU